GUGGCCUGAAGCUCACAUUUAACUAAACAUUUUCAGAUCUAGCCUAGACACAUGGGUUGUCCAAACUCCACAGGUCUGCAAAGCCAAGUUUCCAUCAUCCAAUUGCCAUGCUAGGAAAAGAGGCCAAACCAGGGAGGCCCAGGUUGUCAGCAAGAAAGAAAGACGGACAUCUGUACAUUGUGAGAUCCUAAACCAGAUGACUCCUUAUGACCAGGAGGAUGACUAGCUGCUGUUUAACAAGCCUCAGCAGUCAAACCCAGUCACAGGGCACAGGAAGAGCUCUGGUCUGUGAGUGCAGUCGGAGGCAGAGAAGCCAUGGGGAUGAAAGAUGGGAUCUACAUGGCCUGUGUGACUGGAGCAGGGCUUCACUCUGCUGCCCAGUCUGGCCCUCUAUAUUUGGACUCAAGCCAUCUUCCGGCCUCAGCCUGCCAGUUAGCUGUGCCCCACUGCACUCUGCUCAGCUGGGGUGACUUUCGUCUGUCAUCAAAGGUGGUGGUGAAGGAGGUCUUUCUGGAACCCCUCUCUUGUCCUCCGCUCCCAGGUGCUCACUCUGAUUGUAAAAUCACCACCUCAUGAGGAGAAAGGGCACCAAGGUGGAAAGCUCUGGACAGAUGCCAACGGCUGGAUCCCCUCCCAGCUGUGCCACUUUCCCUUAGCCUUCCCACCAGCUGCUUCAUCAGAACCACAUAAAAAAUACUGGUACCUGGCCCGCCCCCACCUUGUGCAAGGGUGACAUGCAGCUCCCUGACCUUCCUUUCAAGCCUGUCACAGGCCAGCAUGGUGGUCUAUAACUGCAGCUCUGUCCUCCUCACUGUACUGGAGACAUCUCCCUGGUGGGACCUUGCCACUCACUGCCCAGCAUUCAAGUUCUUGGCUCCUGUGGGUCACAGUGAAGGGCAGAUGAGGGAUGGUGGCUGAAUGAUACUCCAUGUGUCAGUCACCUAGGGGUUACUGUAACCAAGGGAGAGAAAUAAACCCUCAUCUUCUCUUGC